ACCUUUGAAGACACCUAUGUUAAAUGGUGAAUUAGUUGGUAAAGGCCAGAAGAUUGAUAUCUGAUUGUUUUGACUUCUCACUAUGAGACUCAACUGGGAACGCUGCUCAUCAAAAACUCACACUGAACUGGGAAAAAAAGAGAUGUGAAUUACUGAGUACAUAAGAGAUGAAUUGAAGAAAGGUCUGAAGGGAAUUUUACAGAUGUCCUAGUCAUGAGAAACUUUGCAAAAAGCCUGUGAAGCUGCCCACAGUUCUGAAGCUGUGAGAAAUCUGAAAUGCCAUGGAUGACUAAAAUUGCUGAGGUUAAUGGACUUCAUGGUCUCCUGUCUUUUAUCCCUGGCAGAACUAUUUUGGAGUAAAUCAAGAUGUAAACAAAAUUACCAAAUGUCAUGCAACUAGUGGCAUGGGCAUAAGAGCUGGUAGAUGGCAACGUCUGCGAAGAGUAGAGUUUUAUGUUCAAAACAGUCUUAAAUCCUACCUCUUUCCUUAUUUUCCUCUGGGAAAGGUAGAUGAGAGCCUUUCAGUUUUGUCCUGGAUAUGUAAAUAUGUAUA